AGUGAACGCUGGCGGCAGGCCUAAUACAUGCAAGUCGAACGGCAGCACAGUGGAGCUUGCUCCAUGGGUGGCGAGUGGCGGACGGGUGAGGAAUACAUGGGAAUCUGCCCAGUCGUGGGGGAUAACGUAUGGAAACGUACGCUAAUACCGCAUGCGCCCUUCGGGGGAAAGUCGGGGACCGCAAGGCCUGACGCGAUUGGAUGAGCCCAUGUUCGAUUAGCUAGUUGGCGGGGUAACGGCCCACCAAGGCGACGAUCGAUAGCUGGUCUGAGAGGAUGAUCAGCCACACUGGAACUGAGAUACGGUCCAGACUCCUACGGGAGGCAGCAGUGGGGAAUCUUGGGCAAUGGGCGAAAGCCUGACCCAGCGACGCCGCGUUGGGGAUGAAGCCCUUCGGGGCGUAAACCCAUGUUGUAGGGGACGAAGAAAGUGACGGUACCCUACGAGAAAGCCCCGGCCAACUACGUG
rnacentral:rRNA from 1 species